CACAACACCUGCAGCCUUUAUCACUUUCAGUCCCAAAAUGACUCCGAGGAGAGCUCACAUUGGGCAGGUGCUGCCCCAGGAGCCACUCUCAGGAACACUCCAGGAGAUCAGCCCCAGAGAGGAAGAACCUCUAGCCAUUCAUUUUUGAGCUCUCAAAAGCUUGAGAGUUUCCCUUUUUCCUUGGAUGUGGGAAUGGUGGAAAUCUGCUGCCGACUCCAUCAAAACACAGAUUUUCAGCACCUCACUCCAGAGCAGAGAGCCAUACAAGCAGGGAAAAGCAGAUAAACACAAGACUCCAGACAAGCCUAGGAAGUAAAGGACUCAAACACUGGGAAAAAUCUUUGGACCAGUGAUCCAUCAGACAAAUCCUAAAAAAAUCAACUACAACCCUUUGGGUUCUCAGGGGGUACUUGAGUUUGGCUCCAUGAGCCAGGGCUUGGAGACAGAGGCUGGGGACAGGCUGAGGGGCCCCAGGUGCUGCCCUUGCUGCUGCACUUCUGCCCAUCAACCUGUUCCCCUUUGCCUGCUCUUCCCAGGGGGUGAGAAAUUGAAACCACAAGAACCCCCAGCCCUGUUCUGAGAAGUUAAAAGAGUAACAAAAUGAGGCUGUGCAAGGACCAGUCUAUAAAUUCCACAAUGGACAAUGGCUGGGGGGACACCCACCAUCCCGAGGGACUGGAGCAGGGAUGGUGCUGGAACCCGGGCUGGUGACACAAAUUCUUUCUCUACAUCUGUUCUCCUUCCUUUCCUCCUUCCUUUCUCCCUCUCUUUAAAAGUUUAAAUUGUAGCUGCUGUGGGCUGUUAGGAAAUCGCUGUUUCCAUGCACAGUUCAAGGAAAUUUAACCCAUGAGCUGUUCAUUGGGGUGGUUGUGUAAUCCAUGGGCUUUCCAUCAGAGAAUUUGUGGGUUGUUAAAAAACGUUGCCACGUGUUGUUCUGAGAAUUUUAAUCUGUAGGCUGUUGAAAUAAUCUGUGAGCUGUUCCUGAGGGAAGUUUAAUCCACAAAUUGUCCAGGAAAAUUUAAUCUGCAGGCUGUUCAGAAGUGUUUAAAUUGUUGCUGCCAGUCCGUGCAACCUAUCACAAGGUUUAAAUCCUUGCUGCCCAAAAACUCCAACUUUCUAAUUGACUGUUUGGUGCUGUUUCACCUUAAUACAGCCCCAGGGUAUCCUGAAGGUCCAGGAGCACCCUCUCAGGGCAGGCACAUGGUCUCCAGAGCCAUGACAUGACCUGCAGGGCACAGGGGGGUCCUGACCAAGUGAGGACAGAGGUGUGAGGGCUGCUUGGGAUGGCAGGUGUGGGAGCCUGUGCCCUCCACCUCCCAGCCCUGUGUGCUCUGGGCAGCCACGAGCAGCUGGUGCUUUAGAGGGGCUCCAUCCUGGAGCUGCCCACUCCUCGUGCCCCCUGAAUGACAGAAACCUGUCACUGGGAGGACAUCACCAGCUAAAAUGGGUCUGAUGCCAGGCAUCACAUGGCUCCUGGAGGGAACAGGGCCAGAGCUGUCCCCAGAGCCAUUGCUGGCUCACCUGUGAGUCCCAGCCACACUGUUGGACAGAGGGUCUGUGCUGGCUGCAGCCAUGGGAUGGAGGUGUGGGUGCUGGGGGAUCCUGGAUGAAUGCCUCAGGGCACAGGACCUGGCACUUGCCUUUGCUGAAUUUCAAAAGGUUCCUUCCCAGCUAAGGGUUUCAGGUGCCCAUGUGCACCCAGGAGCUGUGGUGGGGUGUCAAUGCAGCCUGGCCCCAGAUGACACCAGCUCCUGCUGUUUCUCCUGUCACCCUCAGCAUGGCCUUUUUCUGAGCAGAAAACAGCACACCAGAGCUGCCCUGGCUCUGCCUGUGCCAGGUUGUGCCUCCUGGUGGGAUGUGCAGGGAACAGGGGCAGGAACCUUGGGGCAGUGGCUGGAGGUACUGGGGGUUGCAGUCCCACUCCACUGGCAGACCUUGGUCUCCUCUUCCUCCCUCUGCUUUGCUGCCCCCCAGGAAAUCCUGCAGCACAUCCCAGCACACCAUUCUGUCACCUUCCCUGGGGCUGGAGAGAGGCUGGUAGGAGUGUAGGGGGCUUCAGGUGGGUUGGGCUGAUUCCCACAUUCCACUCUUAGGACACCCUUCCCACUCUUCCCUCCUGGUCCCUUCACACUGGAAGUCUCCAAGGGCAGCAGGGCAGGGGCAGCAGGGCAGAGCAGUGAGGGGCAGCUCCAGGGGACACCAGUGGCAGCUCACCAAGUCAAGGGACUCCUGGAGAGUCCAGAUGUUCUCUGCCAUGUGCUCUGCCAUCAAGUCUUGGAUCUCCUUGCAGAUCUCCUGGCACAGAGCCCUGACCUUGGAGAUGGGGAUGGCAGGGUGAGCCAGGGCAGGCUCUCUGGUGACCAGGUGCUUUGCCCCCACCAUGGUCUGCACAGAACCAGGGGCAGCGCAGGGCCCAGCCAGGCUGGCACAGGACACUGCAGGCAGGGCUUGGCCUUCAGCACAUCCUCAGCAGCCAAGAAGGGGCAGCAGCUCCCCAAAAGCACAAGGGAUGCAGGGGGUGGCUCAGGGGGAGCACUCAGAGGGGCUGGAAAGAGCUUCUUGCUCUGCCUUGGUGAUGUCUCUUUUCACUGGCUUCCACUUUCUUCCUUAUCUUCUCCAUGUCUGAUGGGGUGGGAACCACAGAGGCCUCUCACAAUUCCCUGCAGUGGUUCCCUGCUCUCCUGGGCAGGCAGAUCCCACAGGUGUCCAAGCAUCCCAUGUGGGAGGUGAUAGCAAGUGGAGCAAGAUGGGCACAGCCAGCAGGGUCCUUCCUCUUCACUCUCCUCCUCAUUCUGGAGCCUGCAGGUCUCCCUGUCUACAGCUACAUCCAAACUCUGUGGUGCAGACAAUUCACUGCAACAGCAAUUUAUAAGGGAAAGCUAUGGAUGUUCCUUGACCACUGAAAUGUAAGAGGUAAUCAGGGCUAAUGCAAAUAAAUUUUAAUGAGAAUUUCAGCCUUGGUGGCAUCUAACUUAACUUCACUUCUGACCCUACCAACAGUAAAGCCACAGCUUUUGCUUUAACAAUACAGAGUGCUUUGGUAAACUCCAUACACCCACCCAUUGCACUGGGGUUAAAUCACCAUGGAAUUAUUUCCAAUACAACACAGAGUAUGGGCCCAACAAAAUAGGAACAAAUGGCAAGCUGUCACUGUUGAUGUGUGUUGUACAGGAACAACAGGGAUUUAUUUGUGAAAGGAACACCACUAAUGUCCAAGACAUUUGUCUUGGCACUGAACAAAAUGUUUGUCAUUUUGAAAUACGUCCUGCUGAAAUGCUUGAAACUGUACUUAUAUACAUUGGGAAGAUUAAGAACUAUCUGUGAUUCCAUGGACACCACACCACUGUAGAAAUAAGCCAUCACUCAAACAUUUGGGUUUGUAUUUUUCUCCAAAAUUGGGGGAUGCAACUUCAACUAUUCAGUUCUGUCACAAUCCAUGAAUUGCUACAACCUACCUAUAGAUCCCAGCAAGAGUUCCUGCUCACCCCCACUGGAAUGAACCUUGCACUGGUGGAAAGAUUACUGCAGCAUGACGAGCUGUGUUGACUGCUGGAAGGUGUCUGAAGGAAUGGACACAGAGCUCUAAUCAUUGUUCAUCAAAUACUGAAGAGAUACAUCAUGUGAUGAGAAAUGGAGAACAUCACUGGUGGGAUUGUGUUUGGGUAGUCACCCACUGUAACAGGAAUUCCAGAUCUAA